GGAUUAGAUACCCUGGUAGUCCACGCCGUAAACGAUGGAUGCUAGUUGUCGGGCAGCAUGCUGUUCGGUGACGCAGCUAACGCAUUAAGCAUCCCGCCUGGGGAGUACGGCCGCAAGGUUAAAACUCAAAGAAAUUGACGGGGGCCCGCACAAGCGGUGGAGCAUGUGGUUUAAUUCGAAGCAACGCGAAGAACCUUACCUGCGCUUGACAUCCUGAUCGCGGAUUAGAGAGAUCUUUUCCUUCAGUUCGGCUGGAUCAGUGACAGGUGCUGCAUGGCUGUCGUCAGCUCGUGCCG
rnacentral:rRNA from 1 species